GUGACAAACUAGCCAACUUAGAGUCACUCUUACCUCACCCCCCUACCACCUCCCAUCACUCCAGCUCCCCACCGCAGAUAGCGAUACAGGCCUCUUCGGCCUGUAUCGCUAUCUGCGGUGGGGAGCUGGAGUGAUGGGAGGUGGUAGGGGGGUGAGGUAAGAGUGACUCUAAGUUGGCUAG